GCCCGGGUGGCGGAAUGGCAGACGCGGAGGUCUCAAAAACCUUUACCUUCGGGUGUGUGGGUUCGACUCCCACCCCGGGCACCA
rnacentral:tRNA from 1 species